rnacentral:lncRNA from 1 species
GUGGUCUCUCCCUCUCUGCAUUCUCAGGAGUGCCCACCUGUCUGGGCGGCGAGCUCUCUCUCCCAGGGGUUUGGGAGCAGUGAAGUGUGGCCGGGAUCAGCGAGAUUCGGGCUCCAGCUAAAAACCAGAAGUGUCCUGUUCCAGAGGAAUUUUGCCUCAGUGUGUCCUGAGUCCACCAGGCAGGUCGCUUGGAGCAUAAAAGUUGGUCUUACCUGUGGUCUUGAAGCUCAAGUUGCUUGUGAGGGGGCUGCUUUUGAGCUCUCUGUGAGGGCGGCAACCAGGAGGGCCUGCACCGCCUUUUCCUGGAGCCCCUGUGCACCGGGAUCCCAGAUGGCAUUAGGUGUUUUCCUCUGGAGUCAGAAAUGUGGGCAGAGUGUAGUCUCUUUUUGCUUCCCAGGAGUGUCUGCCCCUCUGAAGGUUUAGCUCUCCCUCCCAUGGGAUUUGGGUGCAGAGAACUGUUGAGCAGUCCCUUCAGGUCCGGGCAGCAUCUGGAACGAGGGGGACCUGCUGCUCCAGUGCCCCUGUCUUCCAGUUCCAGGAGGCCCUAUACAGUUUCCUCUUGGGCCACGGAUGUGGGCAGGGGUGGGCAGUGUUGGUAGUCUCUCCCACUCUGCAGUCUCAGGAGUGCCCACCUGUCUGGGUGGUGAGCUCUCUGUCCCACAGGGUUUGGGAGUUGGGAGCUGUGGGCCGGGAUCAGUGAGGUUAGGAGGAUGAUACUUUCUAGUUCCAUCCAUUUGCCUAUGAAUGUCAUGAAUCAUUGU